UGGCUCAGGAUGAACGCUAGCGGCAGGCUUAACACAUGCAAGUCGAGGGGCAGCGGGGAGGAAGCUUGCUUUCUCCGCCGGCGACCGGCGCACGGGUGAGUAACACGUAUGCAACCUGCCCCUGUCAGGGGGACAACCCGCCGAAAGGCGGGCUAAACCCGCGUACAUGCCACCGGGGCAUCCCGGAGGCAGGAAAGGCUUCGGCCGGACAGGGAUGGGCAUGCGGCGCAUUAGGUAGUAGGCGGGGUAACGGCCCACCUAACCGACGAUGCGUAGGGGUUCUGAGAGGAAGGUCCCCCACACUGGUACUGAGACACGGACCAGACUCCUACGGGAGGCAGCAGUGAGGAAUAUUGGUCAAUGGUCGGGAGACUGAACCAGCCAAGCCGCGUGAGGGAUGAAGGUACAGAGUAUCGUAAACCUCUUUUGUCAGGGAACAAAGGCGGGGACGUGUCCCCGGAUGAGUGUACCUGAAGAAAAAGCAUCGGCUAACUCCGUGCCAGCAGCCGCGGUAAUACGGAGGAUGCGAGCGUUAUCCGGAUUUAUUGGGUUUAAAGGGUGCGCAGGCGGUCUGUUAAGUCAGCGGUCAAAGCCCGGGGCUCAACCCCGGCCCGCCGUUGAAACUGGCAGUCUCGAGUUGGAGAGAAGUAUGCGGAAUGCGCGGUGUAGCGGUGAAAUGCAUAGAUAUCGCGCAGAACUCCGAUUGCGAAGGCAGCAUGCCGGCUCCACACUGACGCUGAGGCACGAAAGCGUGGGUAUCGAACAGGAUUAGAUACCCUGGUAGUCCACGCAGUAAACGAUGAAUGCUGGCUGUCCGGGGGGGAUUGACCCCUGGGUGGCGAAGCGAAAGCGAUAAGCAUUCCACCUGGUGAGUACGCCGGCAACGGUGAAACUCAAAGGAAUUGACGGGGGCCCGCACAAGCGGAGGAACAUGUGGUUUAAUUCGAUGAUACGCGAGGAACCUUACCCGGGCUCAAACGGGGAGUGACUCAGGCAGAGACGCCUGUUUCCCACGGGACACUCCCCGAGGUGCUGCAUGGUUGUCGUCAGCUCGUGCCGUGAGGUGUCGGCUUAAGUGCCAUAACGAGCGCAACCCCCGCGUGCAGUUGCUAACAGAUAACGCUGAGGACUCUGCACGGACUGCCGGCGCAAGCCGCGAGGAAGGCGGGGAUGACGUCAAAUCAGCACGGCCCUUACGUCCGGGGCGACACACGUGUUACAAUGGGUGGUACAGCGGGAAGCCAGGCGGCGACGCCGAGCGGAACCCGAAAUCCACUCUCAGUUCGGAUCGGAGUCUGCAACCCGACUCCGUGAAGCUGGAUUCGCUAGUAAUCGCGCAUCAGCCAUGGCGCGGUGAAUACGUUCCCGGGCCUUGUACACACCGCCCGUCAAGCCAUGGGAGCCGAGGGCGCUUGAAGUGCGUCGCCGCGAGGCGCGCCCUAGAGCGAAAUCGGUGACUGGGGCUAAGUCGUAACAAGGUAGCCG
rnacentral:rRNA from 1 species